AGCUCCAAUAGCGUAUAUUAAAGUUGUUGCAGUUAAAAAGCUCGUAGUCUGAGUCUUGGCUGGCGGUGAGCGUCCGUGGCUCCUUUGUGGGUCACGCGCAUGCGAUAUUCUGUCUUGGCCAUUUGUACUUUGGAGGAACGCUGGUGCUUUUCAUUAAGUGCCUGUCUCGGGAUUCCAAUAGUUUACUUUGAGAAAAAUAGAGUGUUCAAAGCAGGCGUUUGUGCCACUUUUGAAUACAUUAGCAUGGGAUAAUAGAAUAGGACAUUGGUUCUAUUUUGUUGGUUUACGGACCGAUGUAAUGAUUAACAGGAACAGUUGGGGACAUUUAUAUUCCAUGGCUAGAGGUGAAAUUCUUGGAUUCAUGGAAGAUAAACUACUGCGAAAGCAUUUGUCAAAGAUGUUUUCA
rnacentral:rRNA from 1 species